CCGGUGAUUACAAUGGCUGCUGUCUCCAUGAAACUCAUCCCAAGACCUGAAAUGAGAGUUAACAAAUCAAGGCAUCACACUAAGACAAUCAUCUGCACUGCCUUGACAAUUUGAAUCCAGUCCUAAGAAGAACCUGAGAUUGUUUAUACGUGUAACUCAUGCAUGGCCUUUAACCGACCACAUCGAGGGGAAUACGAGUGUUGCUGUCCAGUGACGGGGUGCAUUACACCGUGCGCUGUUAGGAAACAACCUUACAUCAGGGAAAAAAGAUGACCACAAGAAAUAUCGUUCCCGGAAAAGCACAUCUCCAAAGUCCUGACACUACAUUGAUGAGCGCCACACCUACAGGUCUACAAGCUGCUCUGAACACUGCUACUCAUUGUGCAACUGAUUGGGGAUUAUCUGACAGACAGACAGACAGACAGACAGACAGACAGACAGACAGACAGACAGACAGAUAUUUUAUUGAAGCCUCAUCUCAACUUUUGAUAUAUAAAACGUGGACAGGUGUAACAUGACAUUUUACAUUUUCCAUGCGGAUUACGGGAGACUGUUUUACGCAUAAAAGGAAACAAACUACAAACAAUGGGUAUUAGAUAAACCCGUUAACAAUAACAUUGAAAUUCAUACCAAGUGGGGAUAAACAAAUUGGUAGCACGUCUUUUGAGGAUAUUAUGGCUGUUUUGGCAGUUAAAAAGGAAAGUUCAGGGUAUAACAGUAGAAACCUAACCUUUAUCGUUAAACAUUAAACCUUCUUCAAAAUGAGCACACUUCUUAAAAAGGUUAAAACGUUCAACAUAGUAAAGUGGAAAUGCAGUAAAAAGGGACAUUCAUCUUCAAUAAAAUAUUUACAAUAGAAACAGAUUCUUUCACAUAAAGGACAUCCAUCAUAUCUGCCAGUUUCAACUUUUAGAGGAGCUACACCGCAUUUUAAAAGGGCCAGUGCCCUCCUAUAUGGACGAGACGAGACGA